CAGCAGCCAUUUUGACAUGACAUAGCAGGAUGAACCCAGGUGUUACUGAUGACUUUAAUUCAGGUCCCACAGGGGAAGGCUCAUGUUGGAUCGCUGGAAAGUCUCUGCAACAGUUAAAUGAUUUGCACUGUCCUGAGCUGGACUGAACUGAACGUAUACCUAAGUGAGAAGCUGGGGCGAGGAAGUUUCCAGGAUGGUGGGGUGGAUGGCCGAAUGGACCUGCUGAUGGGUGUGUUGGACCUGAUGAGGGAAAGACAAAGUGUCAGAGAAAGAAUAUUAUUGUCCAGUGUAUAAAAUCCCAAACGUUUGCCGCUAGUAGGCAAAGAUGAAAAAAAAAAAAUCGAUUUGACCCAAGUCUGGCAUAAAUACUUAAAAUGAUACAUAGAUCAAACUCUGCCCUCAGAGGAAUAGAUUGUGUAAAAACAUCUAGUCCACCUCACCCCUCCCAGCUGAAAAUAAUUCACUCUGUUGAGAGGAAUCAAUCAAUCCCACCCUCCAGAGCUCUGACACACACUCACCUGCUGCGGAGAAGAGUGUGGCGGGUCGCGCCAAGUCAUGGGGGUGAUGGAUGGCGCCAAAGAGGCUCGGGCCCGGAGGUCGACUCAGGAACUCAGGCUUGAGGCCGAAGUCCAGCUUGUGAGGGUCGACCUGCAUCUGCUGCUGGAAGAUCGCAGAUUGGGACACACACACACACAAAAAAAAAACACACACACACACAUACAUCAAACACCAAUACAAGCAACACACAA